rnacentral:rRNA from 1 species
GAACGGGAUUAGAAACCCCGGUAGUCCUAUCCGUAUACGAUGGAUACUAGGUGUAGGAGGUUAAAAUUCCUUCUGUGCCGGAGCUUACGCGUUAAGUAUCCCGCCUGGGGAGUACGGUCGCAAGGCUUAAACUCUAAGGAAUUGACGGGGGCCCGCACAAGCAGCGGAGCGUGUGGUUUAAUUCGAUGCAACGCGAAGAACCUUACCAGGGCUUGACAUGUAGGUAGUAGUGAAGCGAAAGCGGAACGAUCCUUCGGGAAGCCUACACAGGUGCUGCAUGGCUGUCGUCAGCUCGUGCCGUGAGGUGUUAGGUUAAGUCCUGUAACGAGCGCAACCCCUGCCGUUAGUUACAAGUGUCUAACGGGACUGCCCGGCAAAACUGGGAGGAAGGUGGGGAUGACGUCAAGUCAGCAUGGCCUUUAUGUCCUGGGCUACACACACGCUACAAUGGCCGGUACAAUGGGUUGCCAAGCCGCGAGGCGGAGCCAAUCCUCUAAAGCCGGUCUCAGUUCGGAUUGUAGGCUGCAACCCGCCUGCAUGAAGUUGGAGUUGCUAGUAACCGCAGGUCAGCCACACUGCGGUGAUACGUUCCCGGGCAUUGUACACACCGCCCGUCACGUCAUGGAAGCUGUAACACCUGAAGCCGGUGAGCUAACCGCAAGAAGCAACCGUCGAAGGUGGGGCUGGUGACUGGGACGAAGU